rnacentral:rRNA from 1 species
ACUGUGUGUUGUUGGGUAGGGGAGCGUUCUGUAAGCCUGUGAAGGUGUGUCGUGAGGCAUGCUGGAGGUAUCAGAAGUGCGAAUGCUGACAUAAGUAACGAUAAAGCGGGUGAAAAGCCCGCUCGCCGGAAGACCAAGGGUUCCUGUCCAACGUUAAUCGGGGCAGGGUGAGUCGACCCCUAAGGCGAGGCCGAAAGGCGUAGUCGAUGGGAAACGGGUUAAUAUUCCCGUACUUGGUGUUACUGCGAAGGGGGGACGGAGAAGGCUAUGUUGGCCGGGCGACGGUUGUCCCGGUUUAAGCGUGUAGGUGUGUGUUCCAGGUAAAUCCGGUUCACUUUAACACUGAGGCGUGACGACGAGGCACUACGGUGCUGAAGCAACAAAUGCCCUGCUUCCAGGAAAAGCCUCUAAGCAUCAGGUAACAUCAAAUCGUACCCCAAACCGACACAGGUGGUCAGGUAGAGAAUACCAAGGCGCUUGAGAGAACUCGGGUGAAGGAACUAGGCAAAAUGGUGCCGUAACUUCGGGAGAAGGCACGCUGACACGUAGGUGAAGUGAUUUACUCAUGGAGCUGAAGUCAGUCGAAGAUACCAGCUGGCUGCAACUGUUUAUUAAAAACACAGCACUGUGCAAACACGAAAGUGGACGUAUACGGUGUGACGCCUGCCCGGUGCCGGAAGGUUAAUUGAUGGGGUCAGCGCAAGCGAAGCUCCUGAUCGAAGCCCCGGUAAACGGCGGCCGUAACUAUAACGGUCCUAAGGUAGCGAAAUUCCUUGUCGGGUAAGUUCCGACCUGCACGAAUGGCGUAAUGAUGGCCAGGCUGUCUCCACCCGAGACUCAGUGAAAUUGAACUCGCUGUGAAGAUGCAGUGUACCCGCGGCAAGACGGAAAGACCCCGUGAACCUUUACUAUAGCUUGACACUGAACAUUGAGCCUUGAUGUGUAGGAUAGGUGGGAGGCUUUGAAGCGUGGACGCCAGUCUGCGUGGAGCCG